GAUGACGCUGCCGGCAGGCCUAACACAUGCACGUCGAGCGAGCGGCGGACGGGUGAGUAAUGCCUAGGAAUCUGCCUGGUAUUGGGGGAUAACGUCCGGAAACGGUAGCCAAUACCGCAUACCAUCGGAGGUGCCCAGAUGGGAUUAGCUUGUAGGUGAGGUAACGGCUCACCUAGGCGACGAUCCCUAGCUGGUCUGAGAGGAUGACCAGCCACACUGGAACGGAGACACGGUCCAGACUCCUACGUGAGGCAGCAGUGGGGAAUAUUGCAAAAUGGGCGCAAGCCUGAUGCCGCCAUGCCGCGUGUAUGAAGAAGGCCUUCGGGUUGUAAAAGACUUUCAGCGGGGAGGCGUUACCCGCAGAAGAAGCACCGGCUAACUCCGUGCCAGCAGCCGCGGUAAUUC
rnacentral:rRNA from 1 species